GAUGAAGAACGUAGUGAAAUGCGAUAAGUAAUGUGAAUUGCAGAAUUCAGUGAAUCAUCGAAUCUUUGAACGCACAUUGCGCCCCCUGGUAUUCCGGGGGGGCAUGCCUGUUCGAGCGUCAUUUCACCACUCAAGCCUCGCUUGGUAUUGGGCGACGCGGUCCGCCGCGCGCCUCAAAUCGACCGGCUGGGUCUUUCGUCCCCUCAGCGUUGUGGAAACUAUUCGCUAAAGGGUGCCGCGGGAGGCCACGCCGUAAAACAACCCCAUUUCUAAGGUUGACCUCGGAUCAGGUAGGGAUACCCGCUGAACUUAAGCAUAUCAAUAAGCGGAGGA
rnacentral:misc_RNA from 1 species